rnacentral:rRNA from 1 species
CAGAACGAACGGCUGGCGGCGUGCUUAACACAUGCAAGUCGAACGCGAAAGGGGACUUCGGUCCUGAGUAAAGUGGCGCACGGGUGAGUAACGCGUAGAUAACCUGUCUUCAUGUCUGGAAUAAUACGCCGAAAGGGGUACUAAUACCGGAUAUUCUUGCUUUUCAUAAGUUAUGCAAGCAAAGGUGGCCUCUGCAUAUGCUACUGCAUGAAGAGGGGUCUGCGUACCAUUAGCUAGUAGGUGGGGUAAUGGCCUACCUAGGCGACGAUGGUUAGCGGGUCUGAGAGGAUGAUCCGCCACACUGGCACUGGAACACGGGCCGGACUCCUACGGGAGGCAGCAGUGAGGAAUAUUGCGCAAUGGGGGAAACCCUGACGCAGCGACGCCGCGUGAGUGAAGGAAGGCCUUCGGGUCGUAAAGCUCUGUCAAGAGGAAAGAAGUGUACAAUGGCUAAUACCUGUUGUAUUUGACGGUACCUCUAAAGGAAGCACCGGCUAACUCCGUGCCAGCCGCAGC